rnacentral:rRNA from 1 species
AGGAUCAUUGUCGAAACCUUCACGGGUUCGUUUGAUCAUCACGAGAAACCAACCGUCCGGUAUGUUUACGACUUUGUCGUGAACGUUGGUAGUAUCACCCCCGUUGGAGCUCUCUGUGAGGUGUCUACCGUACGCGAUGAGUCGUUCUUGAGUGGCGGCAGUGAUUCGUCGUACAAAGUUCCCAUCUUGCAUGGUCGAGCUUACUAGACUUGAUGAGCGUUGCUGGAACGCCGCCUCAAUGUUUUACGUUGGUGAUUGUGCACAAUGCGACCACCGUGCGGAACCUGGCUGUCAGGAAGUCUUAAUGAUCCGGGUCACCCGGACGCCAACGUAGAACUCACAAUCUUUCUAUUUUGAAUGUUGGCAGAAUCGUGAUCGAUGAUCACUCUAUGAACUAGCUUCAGCGAUGGAUCGGUUGAUUCGCGUAUCGAUGAAAAACGCAGCUAGCUGCGUUAUUUACCACGAAUUGCAGACGCUUAGAGUGGUGAAAUUUUGAACGCAUAGCGCCGUUGGGUUUCCCCUUCGGCACGUCUGGUUCAGGGUUGUGAACGAUAUAAUACAGCAUGGAUUGUUUUGCUGUGUGUCGAGUGGYACUUGCUGUGUUACAGCGAAUCCCAUUCAAGUGAAGAAAGUUUGCAACAUGGCUCUGUAUUAGUGUCAAAGCUCCUGAAUGAUGUGAACGCGAUUGUUACCGUGUCGAAUCGUACUCGGUGAGAUUGAGAUGGAUUUGAUCGGGGACCUGCUGUGAACAAUCGAUUGUUCUGACAUCAUUUGCAUUGCAACCUGAGCUCAGGCGUGACUACCCGCUGAACUUAAGCAUAUCACUU